GCGUCGUGGAUACGGUCCGUCCGAUAUUAUCCUCCCCGACUCUCAGCGUGGAGCUCAGAAAGUUGCCUUGAAAAGCAUAAAAACAGUAAAUAAAUGCUGCUUAUUAACUGACAGCCUGUCACCGUGGAGUGACGUGAGACGGCAUUGGUAACCAUGGCAACAGAAGAGGGCCGUAAAGCCGAGUCAGAAGCCGAGUUUUCUGUAAGUGAUGAAGAAAUGAAGAAGUGGAUGUCAAGAGCUUUUGAAAUGGCCAGAGAGGCUCUGCAAGGCGGCGAGGUUCCGGUCGGAUGCCUGCUGGUCCACAGACAGGAAGUGGUGGGGAAAGGCCGGAACGAGGUCAACGAGACCAAAAACGCGACGCGUCACGCUGAGAUGGUCGCCUUGGACCAGCUGCUGGACUGGUGUCGCCAUGGCAACCUGGACGUGAGGGGCGUGUGUGAGCAAACGGUGCUGUAUGUGACGGUGGAGCCGUGCGUGAUGUGCGCCGCAGCCCUGCGCCUCAUGAACGUCUCUCUGGUCGUCUACGGCUGUAGCAAUGAGCGAUUUGGAGGCUGCGGCUCGGUUCUGGACCUCUCCUCUGCUGAGCUUCCUGACACCGGGACGACCUUCAGGGUCAGCGUCACACUUCACCUCUGACCCCAGUGUGUUCCAGGUCACAGAGCAGAGGAAGCUGUUGAGAUGCUGAAAACUUUCUACAAACAGGAGAAUCCAAACGCCCCAAAACCCAAAACCAGGAAGGACUGACCUGCAGAGAGCUUCAGCUCAGUUUUAAUAUUUAUGUUAUUUACGUGUUGUAUUGUUAUUUUUUUAAAUGAAUAAAACCUGUUUAUAUUUUGGAA